GAACUACUCCCUCCGUCCCAUGACUUUCUAUUACAUGUAUCUAGACGUAUUUUAGUAUAUAGAUACAUUCAUAUUUAGACAAAUUUGAGUCACUUAAUAUGGGACGGAGGGAGUAGGUG
rnacentral:pre_miRNA from 1 species